GCCCGCCUAGCUCAAUUGGUCAGAGCGUCAGACUUUUACGGCGGGCAGUGCUCUCGAUUGUAAUCUGAAGGCUGCGAGUUCGACCCUCGCGGUGGGCU